rnacentral:lncRNA from 1 species
CGUCUCAAAAAAAAAAAAAAAAGAUUUCUUUCUGGCAAUAACACAGGUAAGAACAGGCUAGGAAAAGAUCCCCAGAGCUAACCCGCAGGAAAUGCUCGAAAGAAACCAGGCUGGGAGAGGGCACUGGCUAGAGGCAGGGCUCCGGGCAUGACUGACAGGAAACCCCAACACAGUGGGCUUGAUGGCAGUCAGCAGUCGGGCACAGGCCAAGAGCCAUAGCAGUAACAGCAGCAGCGACACAGGGACUCUGAGGGCCCACAGGACUGUCUCUGGGCCAGGGACUGGGGGCUGCCCCAGGUGGAGGUCAAUGACAGUGAGUUAACUCCUUAACUUUCACAAUUCACAAAAAUACUACAGAUUCCAUCUAGAUUAAUAUUUAUUUUAUUUUUUGGAAACAGGGUUUCACUACGUAGCCCAGGCUGGAGUGCAGUGGCUAGUCACAGGUGCAAUCGCAACGCACUACAGCCUUCAGCUCCUAGGCCUGAGCAUUCCUCCUGCCUCCGCCUCCCAGGUAGCUGGGACUCCAGGUGCACACCACUGUGCCCAGCUAGAUUAAGAUUCAAAUUAAAAAAAAAAACUCACUAAAAUAUUGAGAUAAUUUGUGUGAAUAUAUUAAUAUAAAUUCUGCAGCGGAAGUAUUCCUGAAACUGAUAUAAAGACAGAAACAAUGCCUAUAAUCCCAGUAUUUUGGGAGGCCAAGGAGGGCAGAUCACUUGAGCUCAGGAGUUCAACACAAGACUGGCCAACAUGGUGAAACCUAGUCUCUACUACAAAAAUACAAAAACUAGCCGGUGUGGUGGGGGCAUGCCUGUAAUCCUGGCUACUCGGCAGGCUAAGGCAGGAUAAUCACUUGAACACAGGAGGCAGAGGUUUCAGUGAGCUGAAAUCGUGCCACUGCACUCCAGCCUGAGUGACAGAGCAAGACUCUGUCUCAAAAAAAAAAAAAAAAAAAAAAAGACAGAAACCAGCCCAGUCCUAGUGAUCCAAAUACCAGUGACUUAUCUGGCCAGGAGCCUCCACACAACAAUCCCAAAGGGAAUUGUCACGAUCUCUGCACCCCACCCCCACCACUCCCCUUCCUACAGUCCCAAUCCUGGCUCAUCCUCUACCUGCUCACACCCUGCCCUCCUCCGGGUCAGCACCUGUGAGUCACCCCGGGCUCCUCCUCCUUCCUCCCUCUCCCACCCAAGGUCACCACAUCUUGGUCCCCUCUCUCAUCUGCCUUGAGUUGGCCCCGCUCGCCUCCUCUCUAGCCCUGCCCCACCUUCGGCCUCAUCCUGCCACAUCUGCACUCUGGCAGGAGCCGCCUCCCUGCUGGCCUCCCUGCUUCGAGUCAUGGCCACCUCUAGCCUCAUGGUUUGGAAAGCCUAUACAGACUACCUUGAUUACAUGGAUAUUUUAGAUUCAUGAAUGCUUUAAAAAUGAACAAGACUAAAUGACAAGUGAUAAUCUAGGAUAAAAUAUUUGUAAUAUAUGAGAAUUGGGCAAGGUGGCUCACACCUGUAAUCCCAGCUACUGGGCAGGCUAAGGCAGGAGUAUUACUUGAGGCCAGAUGUUUGAGGCCAGCCUCGGCAACAUAGUGAAACCCUCAUCUCCAAAAAAAAAAAAAAAAACCACACACACACACACACACACACGUAAUAUAUGACAGACAAGGAGUUAAUAGCCUGAAUACAUCUUUAAAAUAAAUAAGAAAAAAAUAAUAUACCACACUAAAUAAUAAUAAUAAACUACACAAAUGAAGUGGGAAAAAUGGAGAAAUAUAUCAAUAGAAAACAGAAAACUGACUGGGCUC